rnacentral:rRNA from 1 species
GUGGAUUAGAUACCCUGGUAGUCCACACUGUCAACGGUGAACACUAGGUGUGGGAGGUGUAAUACCUUCUGUGCCGCAGCUAACGCGAUAAGUGUUCCGCCUGGGAAGUACGGCCGCAAGGUUGAAACUCAAAGGAAUUGACGGGGGCCCGCACAAGCGGUGGAGCAUGUGGUUUAAUUCGACGCAACGCGAAAAACCUUACCUGGGUUUGACAUGGUAGGAAUCCGGAUGAAAGUCUGGAGUGCCCCGUAAGGGGAAUCUACACACAGGUGCUGCACGGUUGUCGCCAGCU